UACGGAGGGUGCAAGCGUUAUCCGGAUUUACUGGGUUUAAAGGGUGCGUAGGCGGGUAGGUAAGUCAGUGGUGAAAUCUCCGAGCUUAACUCGGAAACUGCCUUUGAUACUAUUUAUCUUGAAUAUUGUGGAGGUAAGCGGAAUAUGUCAUGUAGCGGUGAAAUGCUUAGAUAUGACAUAGAGCACCUAUUGCGAAGGCAGCUUACUACGCAUAUAUUGACGCUGAGGCACGAAAGCGUGGGGAUCAAACAGG
rnacentral:rRNA from 1 species